AUUGAACGCUGGCGGCAGGCCUAACACAUGCAAGUCGAGCGAGCGGCGGACGGGUGAGUAAUGUCUGGGAAACUGCCUGAUGGAGGGGGAUAACUACUGGAAACGGUAGCUAAUACCGCAUACCAUCAGAUGUGCCCAGAUGGGAUUAGCUAGGAGGUGGGGUAAUGGCUCACCUAGGCGACGAUCCCUAGCUGGUCUGCGAGGAUGACCAGCCACCCUGGAACUGAGAACCGGUCCAGACUCCUACGGGAGGAAGACGUGGGGAAUAUUGCACAAUGGGCGCAAGCCUGAUGCAGCCAUGCCGCGUGUAUGAAGAAGGCCUGCGGGUUGUAAAGUACUUUCAGCGAGGAGGCGUUACUCGCAGAAGAAGCACCGGCUAACUCCGUGCCAGCAGCCGCGGUAAUAC
rnacentral:rRNA from 1 species